UACAGGGGGUGCAAACGUUGCUCGGAAUUAUUGGGCGUAAAGCGCGCGUAGGCGGCCACUUAAGUCGGAUGUGAAAGCCCCUGGCUCAACUGGGGAAGUGCACCCGAAACUGAAUGGCUUGAGUGCGAAAGAGGGUCGCGGAAUUCCCGGUGUAGAGGUGAAAUUCGUAGAUAUCGGGAGGAACACCGGUGGCGAAGGCGGCGACCUGGGUCGACACUGACGCUGAGGCGCGAAAGCUAGGGUAGCAAACGGG
rnacentral:rRNA from 1 species